CAAUUUUCCGCGCGGAGCGGAAUUUCUCUUUGUCUUUUCUAAUUAGUUCCACCUGAGAAAUCGCAAGACAAAGAAAAAUUCCGCUUCGCGCGGAUUUAAGAUUC